GUCCAUUUCUGGAACUGCUAUUUGUGUAUUGCAUGAUAUUUUAUCAGGGAAAAAAAAAAAUAAAACUGAGAUCCAAUUUCAUGAAAAUGCUGUUGCCGUAUGCCCAGGAGGACAGGGGGAGGAGAGAAUCAAGUCUUCCUCCAUCUACCUCACGCGCAGAUGUGCUGACUGAUGGAGAUAUGAGUGGCUUGACAACCAUGAUUCCAGCAGAGACUCAACACAGCUAUGCUCUGCUCUUCUGCUUCAGUUCUGAUGUUGUCUCCCUUAGGGGACACGCCGAACAAAAUCUUCCAACCUAGCAUGAGCACGCCCAUGAAUCAUCUCCUCGGCCGAGGAAGAGACUCUCUGAGAAGAAGCCCAGCAGCACCAACAUUAAAGAUCAACAGUAAACAAAUGGGACAUCAUGACACUUAAACAGGUUAUGUAGUUCAGCAAAGGACAUCAUCAUUUGAGUACAGAGGAAGCAUGUCGAAUGGGAGAGAUGCUUACCAACUAUACACCUGACAGAAGAGUCAUAUCUUGACAGAAAAUUCAUAUCUAGAAUAUACAAAAAAGAAUCUCAUAAACAACUAAGUAUGAAGGAAAAAAAUCCCAGUUAAAAUAUAAAGCAUGAAACUUAACAGUUCUCAAAAGAUAUGAAUGAAAAUGCAAAUGAAUGAAAAAAUAAUUUACUAAAUGUUUGACCUCUUUAUCUAGUAGAGAAAUGCAAAUUAAAACUGCUUUGAAAUUCCAUAAACUAGUAAGAACAGUUAAGUACCAAAACAACAAAUAACAGCAUAUGCUGAUAUGGAUAUGGAAAAAGGAGAAUACUUGUUGCUGGUGGAAGUGCAAACAGGUGCAAACUAUGGAAAGCAGUGUAGAGUUUCCUUACAAAGUUUAAAAUAGAUUUCCUGGCGGCGGGAACCUGGGUAGUCAACGGCUUGUGGAGCAACAUGCUUAAGUUUUAUUGUGACUACCGUGAUAUGUAUCUUACCCACGAUUCUCCUCUGUGGGGAAGACACACUGCAGUGGCCGGAAACACAAAGAGAAUGUGAAAGACUGUUACCAGAAGUGGAUGAAGAGCAGGCCCAGAACCUCAAUGACAAAACAACGCCUGCAUUUCAACAAAGAUCCCUCCAGCUCCGUUCUCUGCUCCUCUGCCUGCAGGGGCCAUGAUCCCACCUCCCCCUGCCCCAAACCCCAGUCUCCCGGGUCCUUCUCGGCCUGUCAUGAUGCCUACAUCCCUCAUGGAAGGCCCUCCGGUGAUGCCAAUGCUGCCCACCCCCCUCCUCCUGGGAUGAUGCCUGUGGGACCAGCUCCUGGGAUGAGACCGCCCAUGGGAGGCCACAUGCCCAUGAUGCUCGGGACUCCAAUGAUGAGACCUCCCGCCUGCCCUAUGAUGGUGCCCACACGGCCUGGCAUGACCCAGCCAGACAUAAGAGCAGAAGCGCUCUUUAUCAUUUUGUAUUCCUGUUCUGUUUCACCAGGAGAUCUUGGUGCUGAGCCUGAGUGUUUACGAGAUGCAUGACAAGGAAACUUCCCUUCCUAUCAGAGAGAAUAUUUUUGGAGGGAGAAGUGAUACCAAAAAGUGCAGUUUUUACUUAUUUUGUAAAAUGUGAAAAUAAAUACUCAAAGCACUCUAUAUCUUACUACAGGGACACUUGUUCAUCAAUGUUCAUUACUGCUCUCCUUAAAUAGCCAUGGGAAAGAAAAGGUCAAGGUGACCAUCAACUGAUGAAUGGGUAAUGAAAAUUGGGGUGCAUUUAAACAACGAGAAAAUAGUCAACUGUUAAGAAAAUGAAAUUGUAGGUAAAGGGACAGAAGCCAAGAAAAUAAAAUGUUACAUAUUUUCUCUCAUGUGUGGAUGUUAGCUUUGAAUCUUUAGAUAUGUGUGUGUUUCCUUUGGAAUACCAUGGAGGUCAGGAAAUUAGUAAGGAGUUAUCAGGCUGGCAUUUAAGGGAGAGGAAAUAGAAUACAGUGAAAUAAAGGGUUACAGAGUUAGAGGCAAAUAGUGAACAGGGAGGAAUAAUUGGUGGGAGAUGGGAGGACAAUGGGAAGGGAUAAGUAACACUAAAGAUCAAUUAUAAAUGACAUUAAAAUGUGUUACUGGAGAAGCUUGCUAAAACAUGUAUGUGCACAUAUAGUUUUGGUGGAGGUACCCUAUAAAGGAGAGAUUAGACACAGAUUGCUAACAAAUACGAUAACCAACACUUCUUUGUGAAUUGUUAGUGAGAUUCCAUAGACCUUCAAGCAUCAAAUGCCACUGCAAACACUCCUAACUACCCUCCAGAAAUUGACAGUAAGACCCCACUGCUGAAGACACCACAUUUAAGUCAUAAAACAUGAAAAUCAAGCUAGCACUUGCUUAAAACCUUGUCUCCUCCUAGCUAGCUUACAAAAAGGUAGAUAGUGAUAUCCAAGCUACCCAAAGAGAAAAUUCAAUAUAAGUCUCACCCAGCUAUAAACCCUGCAAGUUACAAUAAAGACUAGUCUGACAAAAUAUGCUCAGUUGGGAAAUAUUGAUGUGUGUAUAUGUGUUAUGGAACUAUGUGUGUAUAUGUGUAUAUAUACAUAUAUGUGUGUAUAUGUGUAAUGAACUACUUUCUUGUUGGAUUCAAGGCAUGCUCCAUAAGAUGGAAUCCAUUUCUGGUACUGUUAGUGGGGUCAAGAACAUGUGGCUAGAAAGAUCAUAGACACCAAGGAAAAACCUACUUCUAUUUAUCUGCUAAUCAUAGUAUGAAAAGACUCCUAAUGACUUGUUGCUAUAACCAUUAAAAAAUGCAUUU